GUGUCAGCCGCCGCGGUAAUACGUAGGUGGCGAGCGUUGUCCGGAAUUACUGGGCGUAAAGGGCGCGCAGGCGGGUUUUUAAGUCAGAUGUGUAAUCUACAGGCUCAACCUGUAGUUUGGAUCUGAUACUGGAAAUCUUGAGUGCAGGAGAGGACAGUGGAAUUCCUAGUGUAGCGGUGAAAUGCGUAGAUAUUAGGAGGAACACCAGUGGCGAAGGCGGCUGUCUGGCCUGCAACUGACGCUGAGGCGCGAAAGCGUGGGUAGCGAACAGGAUUAGAUACCCUGGUAGUCCACGCCGUAAACGAUGGGUACUAGGUGUAGGAGGUAUCGACCCCUUCUGUGCCGGAGUUAACACAAUAAGUACCCCGCCUGGGGACUACGGCCGCAAGGCUAAAACUCAAAUGAAUUGACGG
rnacentral:rRNA from 1 species